GUGAGUACAGUUAUAGCUCUUUCCAAAGAGCUAAUUCCACAAGGGAAAUGUACUUUUUUUCCCCUUAAUUGAUCCAUUGCUAAAUUGCUUCAGUUGUGUCCUACUCAUUAUGACCCUAUGGACCAGAGCCUACCAGGCUACUCUGUCCAUAGGGAUUUCCAGGCAAGAAUACUGGAGUGGGUUGCCACGUUCUCCUCCAGGGGAUCUUCCUGACCCAGCAUAAAUUCUAAAAUCUAGCAAGAAGAGCAGGACUUUCUGGCACAGAAAAUUUGCGAGAUUAGCAUCUGGGGUUUCCAAGGUGCAUUGUGUUAUCAUCGAAAAGUGAAAAGCAUCUUUCCCAUCUGAACAUUGGGUGCCAGGAUGGAGACCAUUAUUUGUGCAAGUCCACCACCUGUUGCUUUAAUGAUGGUGUCCUUGAUUAUUUAUCUACCAGAACCAUCUGCAUCCUCAGGUGCCACUUAUUGACUCUUGGAAGUACCAUCUCAGGAUAUCCUGUCUGCUGGCAUUCUCAACAGAAAAGAGGAUGUACUCCACUCACCAUCCCAGGAAAAUUUCAUUGUGUUAAGUUGGUUCUGAUUGGGUCUUGUGCCCGAGCAUAAACCAAUCACUGUCGACUACUUUAAUGUCCUGCUCUGAUUGGUUAAGUUCGUCACCUCUUCUACCUUGGAGAGAAUGGAUGCGGCUCGUCUAGAAGUACAUGGAAUGAAAACAGGGAGAGGCGGUUUCCCUAUGAAAACAGAGUACUGUUGCCAGAAGGAGAGAGUGCCCACUGGGUAGCAUGGACACUGCUCGUCAAACACUUCUGCAAAGGAAAUUAUUCUUAGAGAGUUGGCUGAUACAAAGCAUCUAGCAGGAGUCUGGGAAAAGGGUACCACUUGCUUUGGGUGUGUGCCAAAAUUAGUUUUGUGGCUUUGGGAAUGUGUUCUCUCUUGCCCUCAGCCUGCCUUUUGAAGUGAGGACAUUGCCUGGAGUCUAUUCCAGUUGUCUGUCCCUCAGAAUGUGACAAUAUGACCUGCUUAUUGUUCAGAUUCCUUGAACAAUAUAUAAAAUAAAUUCCUUGAACAAUAUAUAAAAUAAGGAGAGACAUUCUUCCCCGAAACAUCCAGUAAAGCACCCAGACUUCACUUUUCUCCUCCGGUUAGGUUCCCUGUGUGGCUGUGGAAUAAAUGAUUGAACAUGGGACAGCACUUAAUCUUCUGAACAAUGGCCCUCCAAACAUCCAACACUGUCAGAUGCUUUUCUGGCAUUUGAAAAUACGCCCGCAGCAAAGCCAUCUAUUGAAUGUUCACUGUGACUAAGACCUCGUGGACAAAGAAGACUGUAAAGCUUCCAUUAUUGGCAAAAUCAGUCGCUGUGGGGCCUCCUAGGGAAAGAGGAGAAGACGUGGAAGCCAAACCACAUGCAGGAUCUUAGUUCCUCAACCAGAGAUUGAACCUGUAACCCCUGCAUUGGAAGUGUAACGUUUUAACCGCUGGACCACCAGGAAAGUCCCUCUUCUUCUCCAUCUCUUGAUUUACAUCUCCUUUGCCUUAUGUUGGCUUUAUUCCCAGAUAGGUCAUCUCUUUGGUAACAAGAUGCCUGCCAGGAUUUCCAGACUUAAAUCUCAUCAGCAGUCUCAACAAAAAGCAAACUCUCUUCUGCUGCUGCUAAGUUGCUUCAGUUGUGUCCGACUCCGUGCAACCCCAUAGAUGGCAGCCCACCAGGCUCCGCCGUCCCUGGGAUUCUCCAGGCAAGAAUACUGGAAUGAGUUGCCAUUUCCUCCUCCAAUGCAUGAAAGUGAAAAGUGAAAGUGAACUUGCUCAGUCGUGUCCGACUCUUCGCAACCCUAUGGACUGCAGCCUACCAGGCUCCUCCGUCCGUGGGAUUUUCCAGGCAAGAGUAUUGGAGUGGGUUGCCACUGCCUUCUCCAAACUCUCUUCUAAACAGUGUUAAAAAUUCUGGGUUUCAGCCUCAUGGACUCUGAUUGGGUCAUGUGUCCCUCUUUAAAACAGUCAUUGUGGCUGCCUGGUCCUUAUUCCCUGUUGAGUGUCACAUGGAUUGAUAGAGGGGGACGGAUAUUUCUCAGGAAAUUUAGAGUGCCAUCAGCAAGACCCAGGGGAGAGUAGAUAUUGGAUAGACAAAUGUAAAACAUGGCUGUAGGAGGUAAGUCAACAAAUGUAUGAUGGGGUGAUGCUGUUUAACUAAGAGAUGUUCUAUAAAUAUAAGUAAGUAUAAGGGGUUGGUUAUGGAG
ensembl:lncRNA